rfam:Hordeum vulgare subsp. vulgare, WGS project CAJW01000000 data, contig: morex_contig_275238
UAAAUACUCCCUCCGUCCGGAAAUACUUAUCCUAGAAAUGAAUAUAAUGGAUGUAUCUAUAAUUCAUUUCUAGGACAAGUAUUUCCGGACGAAGGGAGUAGAAA